CCGGCGCACGGGUGAGUAACGCGUAUCCAACCUGCCUUACACUCUUGGACAGCCUUCUGAAAGGGAGAUUAAUACAAGAUGUUAUCAUGAGUAAGCAUUUUCGCAUGAUUAAAGGUUUACCGGUGUAAGAUGGGGAUGCGUUCCAUUAGAUAGUAGGCGGGGUAACGGCCCACCUAGUCUUCUAUGGAUAGGGGUUCUGAGAGGAAGGUCCCCCACAUUGGAACUGAGACACGGUCCAA
rnacentral:rRNA from 1 species